AGCGGCGGACGGGUGAGUAACACGUGGGUAACCUGCCCAAGAGACUGGGAUAACACCUGGAAACAGAUGCUAAUACCGGAUAACAACACUAGAUGCAUGUCUAGAGUUUGAAAGAUGGUUCUGCUAUCACUCUUGGAUGGACCUGCGGUGCAUUAGCUAGUUGGUAAGGUAACGGCUUACCAAGGCAAUGAUGCAUAGCCGAGUUGAGAGACUGAUCGGCCACAUUGGGACUGAGACACGGCCCAAACUCCUACGGGAGGCAGCAGUAGGGAAUCUUCCACAAUGGGCGAAAGUCUGAUGGAGCAACGCCGCGUGAGUGAAGAAGGGUUUCGGCUCGUAAAGCUCUGUUGGUAGUGAAGAAAGAUAGAGGUAGUAACUGGCCUUUAUUUGACGGUAAUUACUUAGAAAGUCACGGCUAACUACGUGCCAGCAGCCGCGGUAAUACGUAGGUGGCAAGCGUUGUCCGGAUUUAUUGGGCGUAAAGCGAGUGCAGGCGGUUCAAUAAGUCUGAUGUGAAAGCCUUCGGCUCAACCGGAGAAUUGCAUCAGAAACUGUUGAACUUGAGUGCAGAAGAGGAGAGUGGAACUCCAUGUGUAGCGGUGGAAUGCGUAGAUAUAUGGAAGAACACCAGUGGCGAAGGCGGCUCUCUGGUCUGCAACUGACGCUGAGGCUCGAAAGCAUGGGUAGCGAACAGGAUUAGAUACCCUGGUAGUCCAUGCCGUAAACGAUGAGUGCUAAGUGU
rnacentral:rRNA from 1 species